rnacentral:rRNA from 1 species
UACGUAGGGGGCAAGCGUUAUCCGGAUUUACUGGGUGUAAAGGGAGCGUAGACGGCCAGACAAGUCAGAAGUGAAAGCCCAGGGCUCAACCCUGGGACUGCUUUUGAAACUGGCAGUCUUGAGUACAGUAGAGGUGGGCGGAAUUCGUGGUGUAGCGGUGAAAUGCUUAGAUAUCACGAAGAACUCCGAUUGCGAAGGCAGCUCACUGGACUGCAACUGACACUGAGGCUCGAAAGUGUGGGUAUCAAACAGG